AGCUGAGGCCGAAAGGCGUAGGUGAUGGACAACAGGUUGAUAUUCCUGUACUACCGAUAACCGUUUGAGAGAAGGGAUGACACAGUAGGAUAAGCUAAGCACACUGUUGGUUAUGUGUGCCCAAGCAUUGAGGCAGUCAAAGUAGGCAAAUCCGCUUUGAUAAUGCUGGGAUGUGAUGGGGAGCGAAAUUUAGUAGCGAAGUAGCUGAUUUCACACUGUCAAGAAAAGUCUCUAUCGAGGUUAAAGGUACCCGUACCGCAAACCGACACAGGUGGGUGAGGAGAGUAUCCUAAGGCCAGCGAGAGAACUGUUGUUAAGGAACUCGGCAAAAUGACCCCGUAACUUAGGGAUAAGGGGUGCCACCAUCAGGUGGCCGCAGAGAAUAGGCCCAAGCGACUGUUUACCAAAAACAUAGGUUUCUGCUAAGUCGCAAGACGAUGUAUAGGAGCUGACGCCUGCCCGGUGCUGGAAGGUUAAGGGGAUCUGUUAGAGCAAUCGAAGCAGUGAACUUAAGCCCCAGUAAACGGCGGCCGUAACUAUAACGGUCCUAAGGUAGCGAAAUUCCUUGUCGGGUAAGUUCCGACCCGCACGAAAGGCGUAACGAUUUGGGCACUGUCUCAACAACAGACUCGGUGAAAUUGUAAUUCCGGUGAAGAUGCCGGAUACCUGCGACAGGACGGAAAGACCCCAUGGAGCUUUACUGUAGCUUGACAUUGGGUCUUGGUACUACAUGUACAGGAUAGGUGGGAGGCUUUGAAACCAGGACGCCAGUUUUGGCGGAGCCAUCCUUGGGAUACCACCCUUGUAGUACUGGGACUCUAACCAUAGGCCAUGAAUCUGGUCUUGGGACACUGUCAGGUGGGCAGUUUGACUGGGGCGGUCGCCUCCCAAAAGGUAACGGAGGCGCUCAAAGGUUCUCUCAGUACGGUCGGAAAUCGUACGUAGAGUGUAAAGGCAAAAGAGAGCUUGAUUGCAAGACAUACAGGUCGAGCAAGGAUGAAAAUCGGACUUAGUGAUCCGGUGGUUCUGCGUGGAAGGGCCAUCGCUCAACGGAUAAAAGCUACCCUGGGGAUAACAGGCUUAUCUCCCCCAAGAGUCCACAUCGACGGGGAGGUUUGGCACCUCGAUGUCGGCUCAUCACAUCCUGGGGCUGUAGUAGGUCCCAAGGGUUGGGCUGUUCGCCCAUUAAAGUGGUACGCG
rnacentral:rRNA from 1 species